rnacentral:rRNA from 1 species
AUACGGAGGAUGCAAGCGUUAUCCGGAUUUAUUGGGUUUAAAGGGUGCGUAGGCGGUUUGCUAAGCGGGAGGUGAAAUGCCGGCGCUCAACGUCGGAAGUGCCUCCCGAACUGGUGGACUUGAAUGACUCUGCCGUGGGAGGAAUGUGUAGUGUAGCGGUGAAAUGCUUAGAGAUUACACAGAACACCGAUUGCGAAGGCAUCUCACGAAGGGUUGAUUGACGCUGAGGCACGAAAGCGUGGGGAUCAAACUGGAUUAGAUACCCUGGUAGUCCACGCAGUAAACGAUGAUGGCUAACCGCUGGUUUUUUCGGAUCAGUGGCCAAGCGAAAGCGAUAAGCCAUCCACCUGGGGAGUACGACCGCAAGGUUGAAACUCAAAUGAAUUGACGGGG